UACGUAGGCAGCGAGCGUUGUUCGGAGUUCCUGGGCGUAAAGAGUGCGUAGGCGGUUUUCUAAGUUUGGUGUGAAAUCUCCCGGCUCAACUGGGAGGGUGCGCCGAAGACUGGAAGGCUAGAGUAUGGGAGAGGUAAGCGGAAUUCCUGGUGUAGCGGUGAAAUGCGUAGAUAUCAGGAGGAACACCUGCGGUGUAGACGGCUUACUGGACCAUCACUGACGCUGAGGCACGAAAGCGUGGGUAGCAAACAGG
rnacentral:rRNA from 1 species